rnacentral:lncRNA from 1 species
AACAAACCAUGCAAAGGUGGAGACAAAACCAUGCAAAAGUGGAAACAAACCAUGCAAAGGUGGAGACAAAACCAUGCAAAGGUGGAAGCAAACCAUGCAAAGGUGGAAACAAACCAUGCAAAUGCAGAAGUAAACUGUGCAAAGGCAGAGGUGAUCCAUGCAAGUAUGGAAACAAGUUGUGCAAAUAUGGAAGCAGACUGUGCAAAAGCAAG